rnacentral:rRNA from 1 species
GUGCCAGCAGCCGCGGUAAUUCCAGCUCCAAUAGCGUAUAUUAAAGUUGUUGUGGUUAAAAAGCUCGUAGUUGAACCUUGGGCCUGGCUGGCCGGUCCGCCUCACCGCGUGCACUGGUCCGGCCGGGCCUUUCCCUCUGUGGAACCCCAUACCCUUCACUGGGCGUGGCGGGGAAACAGGACAUUUACUUUGAAAAAAUUAGAGUGCUCCAGGCAGGCCUAUGCUCGAAUACAUUAGCAUGGAAUAAUAAAAUAGGACGCGCGGUUCUAUUUUGUUGGUUUAUAGGACCGCCGUAAUGAUUAAUAGGGACAGUCGGGGGCAUCAGUAUUCAACUGUCAGAGGUGAAAUUCUUGGAUCAGUUGAAGACUAACUACUGCGAAAGCAUUUGCCAAGGAUGUUUUCAUUAAUCAGGAACGAAAGUUAGGGGAUCGAAGACGAUCAGAUACCGUCGUAGUCUUAACCAUAAACUAUGCCGACUAGGGAUCGGACGGUGUUAUUCAUGACCCGUUCGGCACCUUACGAGAAAUCAAAGUGCUUGGGCUCCAGGGGGAGUAUGGUCGCAAGGCUGAAACUUAAAGAAAUUGACGGAAGGGGCACCACCAGGGGUGGAGCCUGCGGCUUAAUUUGACUCAACACGGGGGAACUCACUAGGUCCAGACACAUAAGGAUUGACAGAUUGAGAGCUCUUUCUUGAUUUUUGUGGUGGUGUGCAUGGCCGUCUAGUUGUGGGGUGACUUGUCUGCUUAAUUGCGAUUACCGAACGAGACCUUAACCUGCUAAUAGGCCCGCAAUGGG